GUGCCAGCAGCCGCGGUAAUACGUAGGUGGCAAGCGUUAUCCGGAAUUAUUGGGCGUAAAGCGCGCGCAGGUGGUUUCUUAAGUCUGACGUGAAAGCCCACGGCUCAACCGUGGAGGGUCAUUGGAAACUGGGAGACUUGAGUGCAGAAGAGGAAAGUGGAAGUCCAGGUGAAGCGGUGAAAUGCGUAGAGAUAUGGAGGAACGCCAGUGGCGAAGGAGACUUUCUGGUCUGUAACAGACACUGCGGCGCGAACGCGUGGGGAGCAAACAGGA
rnacentral:rRNA from 1 species